rnacentral:tRNA from 1 species
ACACUGAUGGUGAAACGGCUAUCAUGCAUCUUUCCCAUCGAGCAAGGAUGCGUUAGGGGUUCGAUUCCCCUUCAGUGUA